UGACCAGCAACUCCUAUCUCUGCCUCCUUGUGGUACUGACCGGGAUACGAUCAACUAUAGGGUUGGUCGUACGCUGACAGGGAAGG
rnacentral:ribozyme from 1 species